AACGAACGCUGGCGGCAUGCCUAACACAUGCAAGUCGAACGAGACCUUCGGGUCUAGUGGCGCACGGGUGCGUAACGUGUGGGAACCUGCCCUUAGGCUCGGAAUAACUCCCCGACAGGGGUGCUAAUACCGGAUAAUGUCCUCGGACCAAAGAUUGAUCGCCUUUGGGUGGGCCCGCGUUGGAUUAGCUAGUUGGUAGGGUAAAAGCCUACCAAGGCGACGAUCCAUAGCUGGUCUGAGAGGAUGAUCAGCCACACUGGGACUGAGACACGGCCCAGACUCCUACGGGAGGCAGCAGUGGGGAAUAUUGGACAAUGGGCGAAAGCCUGAUCCAGCAAUGCCGCGUGAGUGAUGAAGUCCUGAGGGUUGUAAAGCUCUUUUACCCGGCAUGAUUAUGACAGUACCCGGAGAAUAAGCUCCGGCUAACUCCGUG
rnacentral:rRNA from 1 species